rnacentral:rRNA from 1 species
GACGAACGCUGGCGGCGUGCCUAAUACAUGCAAGUCGAGCGAAGUUUUUCUGGUGCUUGCACUAGAAAAACUUAGCGGCGAACGGGUGAGUAACACGUAAAGAACCUGCCUCAUAGACGGGGACAACAAUUGGAAACGAUAGCUAAUACCGGAUAACAGUAUUUCUCGCAUGAGAGAUAUUUAAAAGUUGGUUAUGCUAACACUAUGAGAUAGCUUUGCGGUGGAUUAGCUAGUUGGGGGGGGAAAGGCCCACCAAGGCGACGAUGCAUAGCCGCCCUGAGGGGGUGAUCGCCCAACUUGGACCUGGACACCGGCCCGGACCCCUCCGGAGGGCAGCAGUAGGGAAUCUUCCGCAUUGGGCGAAGUCCUGACGGGGCAACGCCGCGUGGGUGUAGCAGGAUUUCGGUUCUUAAAGCUCUGUUGUUAGGGAAGAAGGCCUAUGUAGUAACUAGACAUGUAAGUGACGGUACCUAACCAGAAAGCCACGGCUAACUACGUG